rnacentral:lncRNA from 12 species
GUCGGAAUCGUUUUCUUUUAAGUUUCUGUUUUAUUUCAACAUCAGAAUAACUGUGAAGGGAUGACCGGCAUUUGAUUGGACACGACACUUCGUAAGGAAUCAUAAAAUCAGACCGAAUUAAAUUUCUAGACACAGAAGCUGUGUCUAGAGUUUUGAUUUGAAAAUGAUGGUUGACGUACUCAUCAUCAAAAUUCCCGAAGCACAAGACGUCGUCCACGCCGAAGACACACGCAGGAAGGUGCCAUGUCUUUGUCCCUGAAAUGGUGGCCACACAGCACACAUGACUCACGCUCAUGGAGGGAGCAGUUGUUAAUUCCAGUCCGGACUCUUCAUCAUUAGAGAAAUGAAAUAUUGGACAAAGCGGUAAAUUUGAAGAAGAAAGACAGAGAGUGGAAUCAUAGACCUUCAGAGCCGGGUGGAGGGCCUGACGGGCCCUGCGUGAGC